rnacentral:rRNA from 1 species
UGGAGGCAGCAGUAGGGAAUAUUGGACAAUGGGUGCGAGCCUGAUCCAGCCAUGCCGCGUGCAGGAAGAAGGCCUUCUGGGUUGUAAACUGCUUUUGCCAGGGGAUAAAACGACCUUGCGAGGUUAAUUGAAGGUACCUGGUGAAUAAGCCACGGCUAACUACGUGCCAGCAGCCGCGGUAAUACGUAGGUGGCAAGCGUUGUCCGGAUUUAUUGGGUUUAAAGGGUGCGUAGGCGGUCCUAUAAGUCAGUGGUGAAAUACAGCCGCUUAACGGUUGAGGUGCCAUUGAUACUGCAGGACUUGAGUACAGACGAGGUAAGCGGAAUUGACGGUGUAGCGGUGAAAUGCAUAGAUAUCGUCAAGAACACCGAUAGCGAAGGCAGCUUACUAGACUGUAACUGACGCUGAGGCACGAAAGUGUGGGGAUCAAACAGGAUUAGAAACCCUGGUAGUCCG